rnacentral:lncRNA from 1 species
AUCAAUUUACCAACUUCAUUGGUGAAUUAUAUAAAAUCGCCGAUAAAAGUGAGAAAUUUUGCGAAAUUUACCAAGAUGAUAGGUGAUUUGCAUAAUUACCGGCCAUUAUAUAUAUCAUCACCAAUUAAUCACUUUUACCGUUACCUAUAUAACAUAUAUAUACACAUACAUACACGGUAUAUCUACGGUAUCAACUUUUGUUGUUUUUCUCUCUACUCUCUCUUAUACACAAUAAACAUCGUAUAUAUAGCAGUAAUACAACACAGUAGAAGAUAUAUAGCCAGUAUACAUUACACCAAUAAGUGACUACCAGGAUUACCUGGGUUAAUGCUGACUGACCAAUGAUGGUUAAUUAUGGACACUUUAUCCUAGAGGGGCUGGGUAAGAUCUGUAAACAGCCCAGGUUAAUUUCUUUCUUAAGUAAUUGGCUAUAAAAAUUAAAAUGAAAACACUAGAAUAAAUAUGGCUGUAAAUAAAUCAAUUUCCUUUUUGGAUAAAUUAUACAACACUUAUUUAUUUUUGAAUAGGAAAGACGUACGGCCCAUUUUCAUCCUGGCUAAUUCUAUAGUUUUUUCAAAAUAAAUUGAUGGCCAAUUGUUUCCU